rnacentral:rRNA from 1 species
GGGGUGAAAGGCUAAUCAAACUUGGAGAUAGCUCGUACUCCCCGAAAUGCAUUUAGGUGCAGCCUUGCGGGUUACUGAUGUGAGGUAGAGCGACUGAUAAGAUGCGAGGGCUUCACCGCCUAUCAAGUCUUGACAAACUCCGAAUGCGCAUCAGUUCUACCGCAGGAGUGAGGGCAUGGGUGCUAAGGUCCGUGCCCGAGAGGAGAAGAAUCCGGACCACCUGCUAAGGUCCCGAAAUGACAGCUAAGUUAAACUAACGAAGUCUGACUGCUAAGACAGCUAGGAUGUUGGCUUGGAAGCAGCCAUUCAUUUAAAGAGUGCGUAACAGCUCACUAGUCGAGGAGUCGGGCGUGGAUAAUAAUCGGGUAUCAAGUUGUCUACCGAAGCAGUGGGAUCAUUAAUAUGAUCGGUAGGGGAGCAUUCCAGUCAGCGUCGAAGGCGUACCGUGAGGUAUUCUGGAGCGUCUGGAAAAGCAAAUGUAGGUAUAAGUAACGAUAAAGGGGGCGGGAAACCCCCUCGCCGAAAGACUAAGGUUUCCUGAUCAACGCUAAUCGGAUCAGGGUCAGUCGGGUCCUAAGGCUCAGCCGAACGGCGAUGCCGAUGGCAGAAACGGUUAAUAUUCCGUUACUACCUUCAGGAGUGACGUGGAGACGCAGUAGUGACAGUGCCGCCAUCUGACGGAAUAGAUGGUUGAAGGGUGUAGGAGUCGAUCAUGGCAGGCAAAUCCACCAUGAGAUCCGAACCUGACAGUAUGCCGCGUCCUUCGGGACAAGGCAAUAGUGCGCGUAAGCAUGCUGCCGAGAAAAUCCGCUAAACUUAAUCCUGCAGGUACCCGUACCGCAAACGGACACACGUAGUCGGGAUGAAUAUUCUAAGGCGCUUGAGUGAUUCACGGUUAAGGAACUAGGCAAACUGACCCUGUAACUUCGGGAUAAAGGGUCCCUACCCUUUUAUGGGAGGGCGCAGAGAAUCGGUCCAGGCAACUGUUUAACAAAAACACAGGGCUGUGCCAAAUCGAAAGAUCCAGUAUACAGCCUGACACCUGCCCGGUGCUGGAAGGUUAAGAGGAGAUGUCAUCGAUAAGAGAAGCGUUGAAUUGAAGCCCCAGUAAACGGCGGCCGUAACUAUAACGGUCCUAAGGUAGCGAAAUUCCUUGUCGGGUAAGUUCCGACCUGCACGAAUGGUGUAAUGAUCUGGACGCUGUCUCAACCGUGAGCUCAGUGAAAUUGUAGUAUCGGUGAAGAUGCCGAUUACCCGCGAUGGGACGAAAAGACCCCGUGAACCUUUACUAUAGCUUAUCAUUGAAUCUGGGCACGUGAUGUGUAGGAUAGGUCGGAGGCUUUGAAGCAGGUACGCCAGUAUUUGUGGAGCCGCUGUUGAAAUACGACCCUUUAUUUGUUUGGAUUCUAACCCGUGGAUACGGGGACAUUGAUUGGUGGGUAGUUUGACUGGGGUGGUCGCCUCCAAAAGCGUAACGGAGGCUUCUAAAGGUGCCCUCCGGCCGAUUGGUAACCGGCCUUAGAGUGUAAUGGCAUAAGGGCGCUUGACUGGGAGACU